GGAAGGGCCAUGGCUCAGAGGUAGAGCAUCCGCUUGGCAUGCAAAAGGUCCCUGGUUCAAUCCCUGGAACCUCCA
rnacentral:tRNA from 1 species